rnacentral:lncRNA from 1 species
UUAUAACCUACAUAAGGACCAGCUACCCUACUGUUUUUGGUCAUAUGCAGAAAAAAUAAUCAUCCCCAGGCAUCCUUUAAUCAAAUUAAGAUUUAACACACAUUUACACAGACCUGCUCUGCAUCGCCUCCUUGGUAACAGGAAUUGAGGAGUGGUUUUAUCCAGUAAAGCAGUCCAUAUGCAUCCCCAUUUUAUUUUAGUUAUUGGCUUUUUUGAGACAGGGUCUUGAUACGUAGUUCAGGCUGGCCUUGAACCCAUUAUAUGUUCCAGGCUGGCCUCCAACUCACAACAAUCCUCCUGCCUCAGCCUCCCAAGUGCUGGGAUCAGCUAUGCGUCACCACACCGGGCUUCCCAACCUCUCUCAUGUUUUGCCAGAGUUAUCGGCAUGACUUCCUUCUCGGGCUCUAUCUGUCCUAAGUGUGAAUAAAUGAGAAGCCAGAGGACAUGGCCAACAUAUUCCAAGUCAGAAAUCACAACAAACCGAUUCAGGAUUUUCACCGCUUGCCCGCUGUCACCGCCAGUGUACGCUGCGGAGAAAGGCGCAGGCGCGGGGCGCCCACCGGAGGAUCCUCGUCGCUCUCCGAGCACAGCUCGCUGGGUUGCAGCCUUCUUAGCGCGGGGCUUCAGACUGUGCUUCCUUCAGUGCCCACCCGGAACCCCACAUUCUCCUCUCUUCGGGUCUCAGCUGCUCCAGUAUAUAGCGGGGAUGCUGUCCUAACCCAGCCUGAAAUUCCUGCCUGAAUUCGAGGCCAUUUGUUCCCACGGAGGCAUCAUGCAUAAGCCUUCCAUGAAUCCUAACACAGCAGCACAUGUUCAUUGCCUAUAUAUAUACAUAUAUAUACAUACACACAUCUUUUCGAGACAGAGUCUCACUACGUAGUUAAGGCUGGCAUUGAACUAUGUAGCCCAAGUUGACCUGGAAUUCACAACGAUCCUCCUGCUUCACCCUCCCGAGUGCUAGGAUUACAGAUGUGCAUCACCACACCUAGCUUGCAAGAACUUUUUUUUUUUUUCCCAAGAACUUUUAAAACUAUGAACAGAGGAAAAAUUUUUUUUAACUGAAUAACAAAACAAAAACAGAAACUUUUUUUUUUUUUCAAAAACAGAACCUUGAGGAACUGAAAAUGUCUGAGGCCUGAAGUCUGGGAAUAUAACCAAAGAACAAACCCCCAAUCUCUUGUUUAUACUUCCUUCAGACUCACUUAUAAAUUAUUUGUACUUUCCUACUUCAAAAGGCCUAUUUUCUCAUACAUUGUUAUUGUAACUUUAACAAAGCCUAAAAACCCCCGAAAUAAUUGCUUUAUAAACUGGGUUUGGUGAUGCACGCCUGUAAUUCCAGCACUCUGGGAGGCUGAGGCAGGAGGAUCACAAGUUUGAGCUCAGCCUUGGCAAUUUAGCAAGACCUUGCUCAAAAUAAACAAUUUAAAAAGGGUUAAAGAUGUAGCUCACCACAAAGGCCCUGGACUCAAGCCCCAGUACCACAAAAAAUAAAAAUAAAACAAUACUGGUUCAUAACUUAUAAACAGAGGUUAAUUCUGG